ensembl:lncRNA
CAACUUCAAAUCUUCCAGGAGAAGAUGGGACUCCAAAAAUAUUCCUCUUCUCUGUGGGUUUCCUUGCCAAGAAGUUAAAUGCAACCUUACAUUAAGCAGAUGGAGGCUUCUUCUCCCUAUCCUCCCUUCAGCUGCUAUAGUCAUAUUUUCUUCUGCACAAAGCCGUGUCCCUGGCACUGCAGUUUUCUAUCCUGAGGCAAAAUUCAGCUCUGACACCAGCACGUCGCUUUGCUCUCCCCCAGCCCAGAGCUCCCUGUUGCUGACGGGGUGCAGCAGCCACACCGGGAUGGGUGUCACAAUCCCACCAUAGGACAAGCAGAAUACCUUCCAGAUAUGUAGUGCAAGAUACUUGGAACAGCUACAAAAACGUGGAAAUGCAAGACGGUGUGCAUAUUAGAUUGGAAUACUGAUUAGAUCCAGAAAUAAAGGGCUAGAGAAGCCAAAGUAGUCGGGAAGCCAGCAUUUUGUGUCAUUUAUUAUUCUUUGGCUAGCUUGAAUUGGAAGAGGAACUGACUGAAUGCUUAAGUGACAUGUUGUCACAUACCAGUGCUGUUUGUGUCAGAGGUUUUGGCAGGGGACCUACACAGAGCAGGGAGCAGGCAUGGCUGGUGUGGCAUCUGGGAGCCGGGCAGCAGAGGCACUGGGAGUUUGGGGACAGAGGAUGGUGGUGACAACACACAUAUGGAGGCACCUUGAGCCACCUGCCAGGAAGGACCACUGCCCCUGCAGAGCUUUGAGCACCAAACAACUGCUGCUAAUAUCGCCUCGCAUCAAGGAAAGUGGUCAAGGCCUAUGGUGGAAGCUCUCCAUGGAAGGACUUCUCUGCUGGAAAAGUGGGAUAUGUUAAGACAAAGCCUGAAAGGUUACUGAGGGGUGAUCACUCCCUGGGCUCUGUCCUUCUGUGCACAGCUCUUCUUGCUCACUUGGCCACUUGCUGGGUAUUUCUGAACAUUAUCAUUUAACCACCUCUCUGCCAGCUUCUGCUGAGCCCACCAGAGCAAGGCUGGCAUGUUAGUCAGCAUUACCGGCUGCUGGAAGCUGGGGAUCAGAGGGACUUUGCUAUUUUUAUCCAGACAUUCUCACUCUGCAGACAGCUUUCUCACCUCUCCUGGAGUGUCACUGGAUGAAGACCAGUGCCACUGUGACACCAGGCGAUCUCAGCAUGUCAGCCCCAAGGUCUCGGGAAGUCCUGGCCAGAGAAAAGGGUGAUUGCACACAGUGGGGCCUGGUCUGUGGUGCUGCAAACGGCCUCUUGUUUCUUUUUUAAUUUCUUUCCUCUGAAAAGAGAAAGAUGCUCGUGAACAGCAAAAACAAACCGUGCACUGAUUAAAGAAGGGGAAGGUCGUGCCAUCUGUAUAACGUGAUCUGGGAUGUAAUCAUGUAUGUGAUUUUAACCUGAGUAGCUUCUGUCCUCUGUAAGACUCAAUCUCCAGUUUGCUGGAAGUAAAUCCAUCAAAGUCCAGCCAAAUAAAUUGGUGGUUUGAUGUGUUCUGAUGUUCACGCACCAAAGCAUGCCCGGGAGGGCAGUGUCCCAGCCUGUAUUUCGUGAGACAUUUGUAGCUAAACAUCACCUUUACUUCAGGAAGUGUCAGACACCAAGCCCCAGCACUGCAAAAAUACAGGUGGUCAUUCUCCAGUCAAGACUGCAAGGAGGGCCGUGAGGCCUGUCAGAUGUCCAUCCUGAGCACAGUUGUUACACCGAGGCAGUUAAACGAUAUCACCAGCAGCCCACCCCACUGCCUUUGUCUUUUCUGGUUGAGAGCAAUGGCUGCUGGGUGCAGCAAGCUGGAGGAGACACCUGAGUGAAGGGACACGAUGGCAGAGAAAAGAAGCAGCGGAGCCCUUUCUGUGCAUGAAGAUGAGAAACAGACCCUGCAACCUCUUCUGUGGUCAUUGUAGAAACACACAAAGUUUGACAUUUUAUUCUGAUCCAGUUGGCCCUACCAAUACAAUACUGAGGCAAGUGGGAUGCAUGGAUUUAUCCUCUUUGUAUUCCUUUUCCUGGCAGCUGGACCAGCCUAGAACAUGAAUUUCAAACUCUGUAAUUAUAUCUACAUCUUUCAUUCCUACAGAAUGCUGACAGAUUAAGGAUGCGAUAAAGACUCUUUUGUCAUAAUAGAAAAGGGCUUGUAUGGGUUUUGCAAUGAAGAUAUGAUAAAGCUCUAAGAGGGCUGUACAAUUUUAUGCUAAUCCCUGGGAAGCAGAUCAAUAUCAAGGCGAAAGGCAUAAUGUUUUUUUACAAAAGGAGAGAUCAGCACAGAUGUACUCAGAUGAGAGGCAAGGCUACAAUCAAGUUGCCAGGUGAUGUUUGUCGUACAAAUCAAAUAAGAAAAGAUUUCCUCUUGCAGGCACGGUAAUCUUGUUUUUGUUCUUCAGGAACCAUAAAUGUUAAAACUGGAACGAGCCUAUCCGAACUGGUUAGUAUAUCAGGUCUCUGAACCGCUUAUUGCUCUGUGUUGAUGCAUGGAGAUUUAUAUUGCCUGUUGACCACUCACGUACACUUAUGGACAUCAUUAAAAAAUUAAAUAACAUUUAAUCAUGCGCCUCAUGCAGAAUUCAUCAAUGACAGUGGAUAUUUCAAACAAGAGUAGGUUUUCCCCUGCUGUAAAUCAGUACAGAGCAGUAGGAUAAAAAAUAAUAAGAUGAAAAAGUAUGAAUAUCUAAUUUGGAGUGAGCAUGGUAAUCAAAAAUGAUGGUUCCUUGACUAAAAACAAUUGGAUUUUGCAGACAUGCCUGGAAUCUGUUAUACAUUUGUGUCUUUGAGAAACAUAUUGACUGAAUUACCGCCUAGUCACAGCUCAUAAAUUAAGUAUAUUUCUGAUCUAUUCUACAGGGAAAAAAAAGAGAAGCAGAAAGGGGCCUACAGAUAGGACCUGGUCCUGUGAAGGCAUGCCAUGCAUUGAGUGAUUGCAUAUUCUCAUUUGAUGAGCACAAUGAGAAUUCUUUUUCUGAUGCCAACAGCGUGCGUUUCAGUGAGCCUUUGCCUCUAAAAGUCCUUGAGUAGCUGCUGCAUUCACAAGCUAAAGAAUGGGGAUGGCUUGUUCCUACUGCUCAGUAAUGACUAUGCCAAACCAGACCCUGCUUUGGUAAGUGUUCCAGCACCCUAAGGUGAUCCCUAAGGCUCCAGAAGGACCAAAGCACAGGCUUAGCCCUGCCAAAUCAUUGGCAUGACUGGGGCUUUCAAAUCCAAACCACACCAACCAACCUUACAAAAGACCCACGUCUCCUGAUAGAAGUAAAAUGUGCUUUGCACAUUCCUUGUCCUAGUAACUCAGAAAGAAGUUUAAUGACAUUCUUUUAGUAUUAUCUCUCAGACCUUCCUUACUCCUACAAAUUUCCAUACUCAGCUUUUAGGAGGGGAAUGUAUUUUCCCCCGUGAGUGAUGGGUGAGCAAAAAAUGAGAUAGUUAUGAGGCAUGCUGCCAUUUUAAUUAUAAAGGCUACUGUGGUAGAAGCUCUAAGUUAAAUUUACAACAGAAACAAAACUUGUACAGGCAGGAGACGAUAAAUGCCAGUACUUGACAAUGACAUAUUUUUACAGUAGGGAUAAUUUGGCAUUCCCCUCCAAUGAAGCUGCAUUCAAAAUCCAAGCCAUCACUUGAUCUAAUCUCUGAAAGCAGCCACUAUUUGCAUCACCUGCUGUAACAAGAAUGUGGAUGUGAACAGCACUGGAGAACCUGAAUGACAGGGUUAACCCCAAGAUUUCUACUAGUCUGAUGUCUUAGCAGGACUUCUUUUUCUCAGAGGAGAGAGCAUCCUUCUGCUCUUGGGAAAUUAAGUCAUAUCUCCCAUGAACUAAACACAUUUGCCCUCUGACUGGAUGGUAAAGUUACAGACAGCAAACCUCCUUCAAAUGUCUUCAGAGAUGUCAUCUAUGUAAGCCUGAGUUCAAGGGUUUGGCCAGUCUUUCCAGGCCUUUCCAUUCCUCAGAUCCAAUGGGAAACCUGAAGCCAGCCUUGUGCCCAGCUAUGUGAGGGACACAGAGGUGACUAGUGGUGAGAGAUUUGCCCUUGCUCAGCUAUAGGUGCCCAGAGGCACCGAGGGACUUGAGGCAUGGUGCAGGGCUACACUGUGCUCCUUAAGCACCUGACACAAACCAGGACCAGGCUUUGAAUUGCUAAGAAACAGGUCACCCAGAGAAGCUGUGGAUGUCCCAUCCCUGGAGGCUUUCAAAGACAGGUUGGAUGGGGCCCUGGGAAGUCUGAGGCAUUGGAACUAGUUGAUCUUCAAGCUCUCUUCCAGCAUAAGACACCAGGAAAAACUUUUUUCUCCCAGAGAGUGGUCAGGCGCUGGAAUGGCCUGCCCAGGGAGGUGGUGGGGUCGCUGUCCCUGGCAGUGUUCAAGAGGCGUCUGGAUGAGGAGCUAUGAGAUAUGGUUUAGUAGCUUGUGGUAGCAAUGGUAAUGGGAGGAUAGUUGGACUAGAUGAUAUUCUAAGUCCUUUCCAACCUUGUGAUUCUAUGAGUCUAUGAUUCUAUCCAUUCUAUGAUUCUAUUAUUCUGUGAAGGAGCAGUUUUCCUUGGAUCUGAGCUUAAUUUAUCACCGUUCUUGAGCUGCUUUAGCAGCCUGAGCGUUACCAUUGUCUUGUUGAUCUUCCUCUGUAGGCUCUGUUUUGGAAAAACAACAGAAAUAGCUGGGUUUCCGAACCACUGUUCCCGUAAGCAUACAGCCUGCUUUUGUCCUUCACACAGGGUGUAUAGGUCACAAGUUGUAUUAUUAUUGUUAUUUCUAAAUCAGCUCUUCUAGGUGUGUCUCCUGCCUUUUAUAAGUGAGAAUGUUAUGUCUUGCAACUGAGCAGCUAUCUAGAUAUUAAGGUUUUUGUUUGUUUGUUUUGUUGGUUUUUUUUUUUGUUUUGUUUUGGGUUUUUUUUUGUUUUUUUUCUGGUUUCUCAUGCCUAUGGCAUCUCUGCCUGAGCACAAAGCUCAGCCAGAGAAAAUGAACCCAUCCCUGCUUGCUCCCUCUGCAAAGAAUCCAGUGGGCUUGAAGCUAGUCCAGUAAUGGUAAAUAUAGAAUGAAUGUCUUGCAAAUGGGUAAAACUGGGACCAAGGAGCAGAAAUUUAGCUGAUAAUAUAGAAGAUAAAGGAGAAGAGGCUCAGCUUCCUUUUGGGCCUCUAAGACACUGGGUUUUUACUCCAGGGUUUCUCAUUGGUAUGGGCAGGACCCUCCAUGAGAAGAGCUCUUCCCGCUGCCUCCUGGGCAGGCUG